rnacentral:rRNA from 1 species
AUUGAACGCUGGCGGCAGGCCUAACACAUGCAAGUCGAGCGGAUGAAGGGAGCUUGCUUCUGGAUUCAGCGGCGGACGGGUGAGUAAUGCCUAGGAAUCUGCCUGGUAGUGGGGGAUAACGUCCGGAAACGGGCGCUAAUACCGCAUACGUCCUGAGGGAGCAAGUGGGGGAUCUUCGGACCUCACGCUAUCAGAUGAGCCUAGGUCGGAUUUGCUAGUUGGUGGGGUAAAGGCCUACUAAGGCGACGAUCCGUAACUGGUCUGAGAGGAUGAUCAGUCACACUAGAACUGAGACACGGUCCAGACUCCUACGGGAGGCAGCAGAGGGGAAUAUUGGACAAUGGGCGAAAACCUGAUCCAGCCAUGCCGCGUGUGUGAAGAAGAUCUUCGGAUUGUAAAGCACUUUAAGUUGGGAGGAAGGGCAGUAAGUUAAUACCUUGCUGUUUUGACGUUACCAACAGAAUAAGCACCGGCUAACUUCGUG